AUUGAACGCUGGCGGCAUGCCUUACACAUGCAAGUCGAACGGCAGCAUGGGUGCUUGCACCUGAUGGCGAGUGGCGAACGGGUGAGUAAUGCAUCGGAACGUACCCGGAAGUGGGGGAUAACGUAGCGAAAGUUACGCUAAUACCGCAUAUUCUGUGAGCAGGAAAGCGGGGGAGUCGCAAGACCUCGCGCUUCCGGAGCGGCCGAUGUCGGAUUAGCUAGUUGGCGGGGUAAAGGCCCACCAAGGCAACGAUCCGUAGCGGGUCUGAGAGGAUGAUCCGCCACACUGGGACUGAGACACGGCCCAGACUCCUACGGGAGGCAGCAGUGGGGAAUUUUGGACAAUGGGGGCGAACCCUGAUCCAGCCAUGCCGCGUGAGUGAAGAAGGCCUC
rnacentral:rRNA from 1 species